rnacentral:lncRNA from 10 species
GGACUGAGAGCGCGAGGCUUCGGGACUGAGCCCUAGCUGCUGCGCUGGCCGAAGUUUUCUCGUCGGUAAAAUAGGAUAACAGUGCACCAUAGGGUCGUUUUGAUAAAGAAGAAAGGUAGGGCACUUAACACAGUUCCUGGUAAAGAGAGUUCAAAUGAAAGUGAAGGAGGCCGGGCGCGGUGGCUCUCACCUGCAGUCCCAAGCACUCUGGGAGGCCUGUAAGGUGCCUGUAAUCCCAGCUCCUCGGGAUGCUGAGGCAGGAGAAUCGCUUGAACCCGAGAAGUGAAGGUUGCAGUGAUCCGAGAUCGCACCACUGCACUCCAUCCUGGGCGACAGAGCGAGACCCUGUCUCGAAAAAAAAGUUAAGGUUUUUUUGGGGGAAAGAGGUGAAAACGUAUUUAAAUGUUCUUUCGAGCCUUUAAAAAUGUGUAUAGUUGAAAAUACUAAAAUUGAAAGUGUUAAUUUCUUUUACAGUUUGUGUUGGUUUUUUCUCUUUCUCGUUUUUGUCCUGUUCUUUUGUAGCGCAAAGGUUUUCCGGGAGCGGUGGCCUUCAUGAUCAUUUGAAACAAAGCUUUGAAUGGCUCACCCACUUCAGUCUUAAGCACUUUUCAUCACUAAUAACGAGGAGCCUAACAUCCCUAAGCCUCAGGCUUUUGCUUUUAUUUCCUUAUAGUUGUUUUAUCUUUCCCACAAUACACAUGCCUUUGGGUUAAAUCACUAGAAGUGGAGUUAGCGAAUCUUUGCCAUAUUAAUUUUCCAAGUGGUGUUGUAUCGAAUUAAAAUAGAACGAAAAAUGUUCAAUUACUAGUUUACUGGGGACUUGCUUGCCUCGCCUGUUAGCAUCCUGGGGCUCCCUAUUCCUAGCUGUGUUCUGGCUAUUUCCCCUCUCCUGGCCUAUUACCUCCCCUGUAAAGUGAAAUAUAGCAUCUACCUCAGUUGUGUAUCUCUAAUGUACUGAGAACAGGUCCUGGCACAUGUAAGAACUCUAAUCAUUAGCUCUUUUGAACUUUACCAGGCAUUGUAUGAAUGAUGCUAACUGCAUGAUCAUAUUAUCAAUAAUAUAUGCCAAAUUUUGUCUAAUACAUUAGCUGUAAUAGUUAAUUGCUAACUUUUUAAAAGGAGUGAAGUUAAAUACCCCUCGCCAUUUUUAGUUAUACUGUUUUUGUGAAUUGUUCAUGACUUGGGUCCGUUUAUGAUGAGGACAUUUAUAUGGGCUCUAUAUUUUUUGUCAUUUCUUUAUACAUACAGAAACUUUAUACAAUCAUGUAUUUUUGUGCCUUUUGAGGCUUUUCAUUUCCCAUUCAGGCCUUUGUAAUUCGUUUUUUAAAAACUUUAAUUUUUAAAAUAUUUACUCCAUCUAGAAUUUACUUUGGUUUACAGCAUCACGUGGAUCUAAGUUCUUUUCUAGAUGUUAAGCUGUAUCAAUACCAUUGAUUACAUAACUCAUUCCUUUUUCGGGGCUUUAUGAUGGAUGCCUUUUUGACUGUAUGAUAAAUUCUUUUAGGGUCUGAGUAAUCUGUCCAGAAUUGUUUCAUUUAGGGUUAAGUUUUUACUUUUUGUUUUAUAUGUUUUUAUUAUCUGGCAGGACUCUAGUUUCUUGUAAAAAAUCCAUUAGUACUGUUCUCUAUAAUCUUUAGAAAUGUUUUGUAUCAUUUCCCUCCAAAUCAUCUUGUGAUCUUGGUUGGAAUUUUGAAGUAGUGUUGAAUCUAUACAUUAAUAUGUGAGAAAGACAUUUUUACAUUAUUUCUUCUUCCCAUCAAGAAACACUCAGGCCAGGUGCGGUGGCUCAUGCCUAUAAUCCCAACACUUUGGGAUACCGAGGUGGAUCACCUGAGGUCAGGAGUUCGAGACCAGCCUGGCCAACAUGGUGAAACCUCGUCUCUACUAAAAUA